rnacentral:rRNA from 1 species
AGGAUCAACGCUGGCGGCGUGCCUAACGCAUGUAAGUCGAACGCAGCACCUUCGGGUGCUGAGUGGCGAACGGCUGAGGAACACGUACGAACCUGCCCUCCCGUGGGGAAUAACGCCGCGAAAGCGGUGCUAAUACCGCGUACGCUGGAUGCUCUGCAUCCAGGAAAGUCUUCGGAUGCGGGAGGAGGGGCGUGCGGCCCAUCAGGUUGUUGGUGGGUAACGGCCUACCAAGCCGGUGACGGGUAGCUGGUCUGUGAGGACGAUCAGCCAGACUGGGACUGCGAAACGGCCCAGACACCUACGGGUGCAGCAGCGAGGAAUC